CGCAUCUGUGCAUGCAGCAUAUCAAUAAGCGGAGGAAAAGAAACUAACAAGGAUUCCCCUAGUAACGGCGAGUGAAGCGGGAAGAGCUCAAAUUUGAAAUCUUAAAGGGUUUCCCCUUACGAAUUGUAGUUUAAAGAAGUGUUUUCUGUUGAGGUUUUGGUAAAAGUUCUUUGGAAUAGGACAUCAUAGAGGGUGAGAAUCCCGUAUUUGACCUUUACUUUCAACUUUGUGAUACACUUUCAAAGAGUCGGAUUGUUUGGGAAUGCAGUCCAAAAUGGGUGGUAAAUUUCAUCUAAAGCUAAAUAUUGGCGAGAGACCGAUAGCGAACAAGUACCGUGAGGGAAAGAUGAAAAGAACUUUGAAAAGAGAGUUAAACAGUACGUGAAAUUGUCAAAAGGGAAGCGUUUGACACCAGUGUUGUUUUUCUGAAAAUCAAUUAAAGAACUGUUUAUGCUAAGUUGUUUAGACUUUAUCAGCUAUCUGCUUAGUUUUGAGCUUUUCUUUAAUGCACUUUUCAGUUAACAAGUCAACAUCAAUUUCUUUUGCUGUAAAAAAGCUUGAGGAAGGUGGCUUGAGAUUCGUCUUAAGUGUUUAUAGCCUCUUGCCUAUGCAGUCGGAGAGAUUGAGGUCUGCAGCGUAGAUCCUUCGGGGCUAAAUGCAUUUGUGCUAAGUUAUAGCAUUUUAUAGACAACUUGUUGACUAUGAUUUGUCUUGUAGCUUACUCGCUUAUGUUAUUUUACCUACGCUUAGGAUGUUGAGCGCAUGUCUCCUCU
rnacentral:rRNA from 1 species